ensembl:lncRNA
CUUUUGUUAUGGUCUCUAUGAGACAUUCAAAUAUUCCAAGAAGUGUGUAAAUCAUACGUGCAAAUAAUAAGAUGGAGCCAACAACAACCAAUCCUUCCAUUCAGGCAGAGAAAGAUAUUCAGAGAGGAGGUCUAUGUUGAUUCUUGAGAAGAACUAGUGGGAGAUUCCUCCAGAGACCCCCUGUCCCCGACCAGGGAUUACAUUUUCUGCUGAGUCACCGCCAUGCGGGGAGAGUGAUACCAAAGUCCUCUCUUUAGUAUAUGGCGUGAUAUUACAAAACAAUAGAAGGAUGGAUUCAGAUCUGAAGACCAUUUCAAAUAGGCAGUGAGCUUUUGAGGAGAGGAGACAUCUGCCGAGGUUUAAUAAACCUUGUUACCAGCCAAAGGUAACUAGGUAAUUUAUGUAAAAGUAUUUUCGAUCAAUUUCACUGUAAAUAAUAGCUGUUAAGUUCAUGGUUUAACCUGCUUAUCUCUCAACAGAAUUCAAGUCCUAAAAGCAAUCCAACUUGUUUAUAAAGAAGUUGGAAAGGACACUAAAA